rnacentral:lncRNA from 1 species
AAGGAGCUGCAUUACCUGAACAAAGAAGACCGGUUGCUACGGUGGCUUCUGGUUAAACACCGAAACACCAAAUACGGGCUGGAAUUUCUGAAUGAAGAUGAUGUUAGAAGUGAGCUGAGCAAGUUCCCACGAAGCACCUUAUUCGACGAUGAGAACAUUGAUGAGGAUGACGAUGACGAUGAUGAAGAAUAUGAAGUGAACCAAGAUGAGGGUCACAAUGAUGAAGAAUAUGAAGUCAACCAAGAUAAGGAGGAAAAGUGAAGGAUAAUGAAAUCUUGUAGUCAUGUUUAUAUGAUUAUGAGGGCUGAUUAUGUGGGCAUUUUGUUAGCAUGCCCUUCUUAG